CGCUAUCACUCCUACGGGAGGCAGCAGUGGGGAAUCUUGGACAAUGGGGGCAACCCUGAUCCAGCCAUGCCGCGUGAGUGAUGAAGGCCUUAGGGUCGUAAAGCUCUUUCGCCUGUGAUGAUAAUGACAGUAGCAGGUAAAGAAACCCCGGCUAACUCCGUGCCAGCAGCCGCGGUAAUACGGAGGGGUUAGCGUUGUUCGGAAUUACUGGGCGUAAAGCGCGCGUAGGCGGAUUAGUCAGUUAGAGGUGAAAUCCCAGGCUCAACCCUGGAACUGCCUUUAAUACUGCUAGUCUUGAGUUCGAGAGAGGUGAGUGGAAUUCCGAGUGUAGAGGUGAAAAUUCGUAGAUAUUCGGAGGAACACCAGUGGCGAAGGCGGCUCACUGGCUCGAUACUGACGCUGAGGUGCGAAAGUGUGGGGAGCAAACAGGAUUAGAUACCCUGGUAG
rnacentral:rRNA from 1 species